rnacentral:tRNA from 1 species
GCCUGGCUGACUUGGUCAGUAGAGUAUGUGACUCUUGAUCUCAGGGUCAUGAGUUCAAGCCCCAUGUCAGGGG